AGCGAACGCUGGCGGCAGGCCUAACACAUGCAAGUCGAACGAACUCUUCGGAGUUAGUGGCGGACGGGUGAGUAACACGUGGGAACGUGCCUUUAGGUUCGGAAUAACUCAGGGAAACUUGUGCUAAUACCGAAUGUGCCCUUCGGGGGAAAGAUUUAUCGCCUUUAGAGCGGCCCGCGUCUGAUUAGCUAGUUGGUGAGGUAACGGCUCACCAAGGCGACGAUCAGUAGCUGGUCUGAGAGGAUGACCAGCCACACUGGGACUGAGACACGGCCCAGACUCCUACGGGAGGCAGCAGUGGGGAAUCUUGCGCAAUGGGCGAAAGCCUGACGCAGCCAUGCCGCGUGUAUGAUGAAGGUCUUAGGGUUGUAAAAUUCUUUCACCGGGGACGAUAAUGACGGUACCCGGAGAAGAAGCCCCGGCUAACUUCGUGCCAGCCGCCGCCGUAACAC
rnacentral:rRNA from 1 species